rnacentral:tRNA from 1 species
GGAGAGUUAGCUUAAUUGGCUAAAGCAGUAGUCUUGAAAACUACCGUCGGUUAAUACCGUUGAGGGUUCGAGUCCCUCACUCUCCU